rnacentral:rRNA from 1 species
CACGGUAAACGAUGGAUGCCCGCUGUUGGCGAUACAUUGUCAGCGGCCAAGCGAAAGCGUUAAGCAUCCCACCUGGGGAGUACGCCGGCAACGGUGAAACUCAAAGGAAUUGACGGGGGCCCGCACAAGCGGAGGAACAUGUGGUUUAAUUCGAUGAUACGCGAGGAACCUUACCCGGGCUUGAACUGCAGGAGAACGAUCCAGAGAUGGUGAGGCCCUUCGGGGCUCCUGUGGAGGUGCUGCAUGGUUGUCGUCAGCUCGUGCCGUGAGGUGUCGGCUUAAGUGCCAUAACGAGCGCAACCCUUUUCAUUAGUUGCCAUCAGGUAAUGCUGGGCACUCUGGUGAUACUGCCACCGUAAGGUGUGAGGAAGGUGGGGAUGACGUCAAAUCAGCACGGCCCUUACGUCCGGGGCUACACACGUGUUACAAUGGGGCAUACAGAAGGCCGGUCCAACGCAAGUUGGAUCCAAUCUAUAAAGUGUCCCUCAGUUCGGAUUGGGGUCUGCAACCCGACC